rnacentral:rRNA from 1 species
GGGUUGUGAGGUUAAGCGACUAAGCGUACACGGUGGAUGCCCUGGCAGUCAGAGGCGAUGAAGGACGUGCUAAUCUGCGAUAAGCGCCGGUAAGGUGAUAUGAACCGUUAUAACCGGCGAUUUCCGAAUGGGGAAACCCAGUGUGAUUCGUCACACUAUCAUUAACUGAAUCCAUAGGUUAAUGAGGCGAACCGGGGGAACUGAAACAUCUAAGUACCCCGAGGAAAAGAAAUCAACCGAGAUUCCCCCAGUAGCGGCGAGCGAACGGGGAGGAGCCCAGAGCCUGAAUCAGCAUGUGUGUUAGUGGAAGCGUCUGGAAAGGCGCGCGAUACAGGGUGACAGCCCCGUACACAAAAGCGCAUGUGCUGUGAGCUCGAUGAGUAGGGCGGGACACGUGGUAUCCUGUCUGAAUAUGGGGGGACCAUCCUCCAAGGCUAAAUACUCCUGACUGACCGAUAGUGAACCAGUACCGUGAGGGAAAGGCGAAAAGAACCCCGGCGAGGGGAGUGAAAAAGAACCUGAAACCGUGUACGUACAAGCAGUGGGAGCACAGGUUUACCUGUGUGACUGCGUACCUUUUGUAUAAUGGGUCAGCGACUUAUAUUCUGUAGCAAGGUUAACCGUAUAGGGGAGCCGGAGGGAAACCGAGUCUUAACCGGGCGUUAAGUUGCAGGGUAUAGACCCGAAACCCGGUGAUCUAGCCAUGGGCAGGUUGAAGGUUGGGUAACACUAACUGGAGGACCGAACCGACUAAUGUUGAAAAAUUAGCGGAUGACCUGUGGCUGGGGGUGAAAGGCCAAUCAAACCGGGAGAUAGCUGGUUCUCCCCGAAAGCUAUUUAGGUAGCGCCUCGUGAAUUCAUCUCCGGGGGUAGAGCACUGUUUCGGCUAGGGGGCCAUCCCGGCUUACCAACCCGAUGCAAACUGCGAAUACCGGAGAAUGUUAUCACGGGAGACACACGGCGGGUGCUAACGUCCGUCGUGAAGAGGGAAACAACCCAGACCGCCAGCUAAGGUCCCAAAGUCAUGGUUAAGUGGGAAACGAUGUGGGAAGGCCCAGACAGCCAGGAUGUUGGCUUAGAAGCAGCCAUCAUUUAAAGAAAGCGUAAUAGCUCACUGGUCGAGUCGGCCUGCGCGGAAGAUGUAACGGGGCUAAACCAUGCACCGAAGCUGCGGCAGCGACACUCAGGUGUUGUUGGGUAGGGGAGCGUUCUGUAAGCCUGUGAAGGUGGCCUGUGAGGGUUGCUGGAGGUAUCAGAAGUGCGAAUGCUGACAUAAGUAACGAUAAAGCGGGUGAAAAGCCCGCUCGCCGGAAGACCAAGGGUUCCUGUCCAACGUUAAUCGGGGCAGGGUGAGUCGACCCCUAAGGCGAGGCCGAAAGGCGUAGUC